UACGUAGGGGGCAAGCGUUGUCCGGAUUUAUUGGGCGUAAAGAGCGUGUAGGCGGCCUGAAAGGUCAGCUGUGAAAACUCGAGGCUCAACCUCGAGACGUCGGUUGAAACCAUCUGGCUAGAGUCCGGAAGAGGAGUGUGGAAUUCCCGGUGUAGCGGUGAAAUGCGCAGAUAUCGGGAAGAACACCCGUGGCGAAGGCGGCACUCUGGGACGGUACUGACGCCGUGAGACGCGAAAGCGUGGGGAGCGAACGAGG
rnacentral:rRNA from 1 species